ensembl:ncRNA R04F11.27 ncRNA
CACACCAACAAGACGACCGAGAAGAACGAAAAAGUGGGCGGCGCCAGGUCAAGUCGCCAAAAGAUACCCCCGUCUAUUCUUCUGUGAAGAUGGGGAGAAACGGGUGGGAAUGAGAAGACCACGCCUUCUCUUUUCACACAGAUUUGUUC